UAUUACAAGGUGCUGCAUGGUUGUCGUCAGCUCGUGCCGUGAGGUGUCGGGUUAAGUCCCAUAACGAGCGCAACCCCUACCUUUAGUUGCCAUCAGGUUAAGCUGGGGACUCUAAAGGAACUGCCUACGCAAGUAGUGAGGAAGGCGGGGAUGACGUCAAAUCAGCACGGCCCUUACGUCCAGGGCUACACACGUGCUACAAUGGCCGAUACAGAGGGCAGCUACCUGGUGACAGGAUGCAAAUCUCCAAAGUCGGUCUCAGUUCGGAUCGGAGUCUGCAACCCGACUCCGUGAAGUUGGAUUCGCUAGUAAUCGCGCAUCAGCCAUGGCGCGGUGAAUACGUUCCCGGGCCUU
rnacentral:rRNA from 1 species